GAUGAACGCUAGCGGCAGGCUUAAUACAUGCAAGUCGAGGGGCAGCAUGACUGUAGCAAUACAGUUGAUGGCGACCGGCAAACGGGUGCGGAACACGUACAGAACCUUCCUUCGAGCGGGGAAUAGCCCAGAGAAAUUUGGAUUAAUACCCCAUAGUACAACGGAGUGGCAUCACUUUGUUGUUAAAGAUUUAUCACUUGAAGAUGGCUGUGCGGCUGAUUAGGUAGUUGGCGGGGUAACGGCCCACCAAGCCUGCGAUCAGUAACUAGUGUGAGAGCACGACCAGUCACACGGGCACUGAGACACGAGCCCGACUCCUACGGGAGGCAGCAGUAAGGAAUAUUGGUCAAUGGACGAAAGUCUGAACCAGCCAUGCCGCGUGGAGGAUGAAGGUCCUCUGGAUUGUAAACCUCUUUUAUAUGGGACAAAAAAGGGUUUUCUAACUCGUCUGACGGUACCAUAUGAAUAAGCAACCGGCUAACUACCCGUGCCAGCAGCCGCGGUAA
rnacentral:rRNA from 1 species